CUACGGGUGGCAGCAGUGGGGAAUAUUGUACAAUGGAGGAAACUCUGAUGCAGCAACGCCGCGUGGAGGAUGACACUUUUCGGAGCGUAAACUCCUUUUAUAUAGGAAGAAGAUGACGGUACUAUAUGAAUAAGCGCCGGCUAACUCCGUGCCAGCAGCCGCGGUAAUACGGAGGGCGCAAGCGUUACUCGGAAUCACUGGGCGUAAAGAGCGUGUAGGCGGAUUAAAAAGUCAGAAGUGAAAUCCUAUAGCUUAACUAUAGAACUGCUUCUGAAACUCUUAAUCUAGAAUAUGGGAGAGGUAGAUGGAAUUUCUGGUGUAGGGGUAAAAUCCGUAGAGAUCAGAAGAAAUACCGAUUGCGAAGGCGAUCUACUAGAACAUUAUUGACGCUGAGACGCGAAAGCGUGGGGAGCAAACAGGAUUAGAUACCCUCGUAGUC
rnacentral:rRNA from 1 species